GGCCUCGUAGCUCAGUUGGCUAGAGCGUUGGCUGUACUACAGCCUUCCCCUUGCUGUCGUGGGUUCGAAUCCUGCCGAGGCCG
rfam:Schistocephalus solidus strain NST_G2 genome assembly, scaffold: SSLN_scaffold0007174